GACAGGAAUGCCCCCAGCGUCCAAGUCUGUCCGGUGGCUACACAGGGACGGCGUCUCUGCAGGGUAAGCGGAGGCGACGCAAAGCGCCCUGGUCGCGAUGACUGCGCCCGGUUGCUGAUAGGGGGCGCCCCAGGGUCCGGCUGGCCGGCAGGCCUCGGCAGGAUAGAGAUGUGGCCGCGACCGCGGGGUGACUCCUCUCCUGGUCUCUGCUCUUGUUGCGCGUCCGGGGGUUCAACAAAUCGAAGAACAGGCGGGCCCUCGGGCGAAGGCGUUUCUUCAUCUGUGUACGCCUCUUCUGCCGCGCGCAUCACUGUAGGAGUAGGCACCUUAGUGGGCAGGAGAUCGUUGGCCAGCGCCCCAGAGGCAGCGACGUCGGCCACCAGCCCAUAGGCCUCGGUCCCAGCGGCACCUAAGGGCGCUGGCAGUCACGAUGGCCGCGGGCCCCGCCUCCAGGGAGCAGGCUGGUGGGGACGGGGCGGCGUCAGCAGGGCUGGUGGGGGGGGGGAUGCACGUCCCGCCCUCUCCUCAAAGGCACGGGAAAGGAGCUGGGGGGGUUGGUCAAACGUGGGCAUCGUUGGUGCGGCAGCGGCGAGGGGUGGGAUCUGCUCUAUUUGCCCCGACCGGGGCGCAGGCGGCGACCUCACGUGCUGCACGGCGGGCCCCAGGCGCAGCAGGCACCGAUCCCGACAGGGCAUAAGAUCAGCCGCUGUAGGAGUGGCCCCGUCCGUAUCUGCUUC
rnacentral:lncRNA from 1 species